rnacentral:rRNA from 1 species
CCUACGGGGGGCAGCAGUGGGGAAUAUUGGACAAUGGGGGCAACCCUGAUCCAGCCAUGCCGCGUGUGUGAAGAAGGCCCUCGGGUUGUAAAGCACUUUCAGUGAGGAAGAACGCCUGGUGGUUAAUACCCAUCAGGAAAGACAUCACUCACAGAAGAAGCACCGGCUAACUCCGUGCCAGCAGCCGCGGUAAUACGGAGGGUGCGAGCGUUAAUCGGAAUUACUGGGCGUAAAGCGCGCGUAGGUGGCUUGAUAAGCCGGUUGUGAAAGCCCCGGGCUCAACCUGGGAACGGCAUCCGGAACUGUCAAGCUAGAGUGCAGGAGAGGAAGGUAGAAUUCCCGGUGUAGCGGUGAAAUGCGUAGAGAUCGGGAGGAAUACCAGUGGCGAAGGCGGCCUUUUGGACUGACACUGACACUGAGGUGCGAAAGCGUGGGUAGCAAACAGGAUUAGAUACCCCAGUAGUC